rnacentral:lncRNA from 1 species
CUGGUGCUUCUCACAAUGUCUCUUCUGCUGACCAAGAUUUCUUCUUCCUCUCUCAAUCUCUCAGAAGUCUGAACUUAUCUCAGAAGUGUGGGCUUGCUUUGCCUUCUAGCACUAUCUGUCUUUGUGCUAGGCAGAGCUUUCCUGUCGUUUGGUCAGCUCUUCAGUCCUGGUCAGCUCCAUCAGCCAAGGGCUCUUGGCCUCACUCAGUAGGCUCCUGAGGUCUGCUGUCUCCUUGAAGAGAUACCAACUUGUUGCGAGAUGAUUCUCCUCCUCGCAGCGGGAGGCUCCCGGCAGCUGGGGACGGAGAACCGCGGCCCGCGGGAUGGCGAGGGGCUCGCCGGCAGGUGGUGAUCCCAACAUUUUGGACCAAGCCCUUAGCACCGUGACCUGGCGCAGCGAACCUCCCUCAUCACCUCCGCUGAAGGUCUCAGCCCGGGGGACUGCAGGCUGACAGCACGGAGCAGGCUCCCGAGGCACAAAACGGCACGGUCUCACAUUUCAAGAAAAAUCAAACUAAGCUAGACCCAACCAAAAUAAAGCCUUGUUCCGUGCUACAGUAAUUAUCUGUAAUGACUGCACAUACUUUGUAUCCCAUGCACAUGUUUAACCAGGAG